rnacentral:rRNA from 1 species
UACGGAGGGUGCGAGCGUUGCUCGGAAUCACUGGGCGUAAAGCGUACGCAGGCGGCUCGUUAAGUCGGGUGUGAAAGCCCGGGGCUCAACCCCGGAAUUGCGCCCGAUACUGGCGAGCUUGAGUACGGGAGAGGGAUAGCGGAAUUCCUGGUGUAGAGGUGAAAUUCGUAGAUAUCAGGAGGAACACCAGUGGCGAAAGCGGCUUCCUGGCCCGAUACUGACGCUCAUGUACGAAAGCGUGGGGAGCAAACAGG